rnacentral:rRNA from 1 species
ACGGUAACAGCACUUCGGUGGCUGACGAGUGGCGAACGGGUGAGUAAUACAUCGGAACGUGCCCGAGAGUGGGGGAUAACGCAGCGAAAGCUGUGCUAAUACCGCAUACGAUCUACGGAUGAAAGCAGGGGACCGCAAGGCCUUGCGCUCAUGGAGCGGCCGAUGGCAGAUUAGGUAGUUGGUGGGAUAAAAGCUUACCAAGCCGACGAUCUGUAGCUGGUCUGAGAGGACGACCAGCCACACUGGGACUGAGACACGGCCCAGACUCCUACGGGAGGCAGCAGUGGGGAAUUUUGGACAAUGGGCGAAAGCCUGAUCCAGCCAUGCCGCGUGCAGGAUGAAGGCCUUCGGGUUGUAAACUGCUUUUGUACGGAACGAAAAGGUCUUUUCUAAUAAAGAAGGCUCAUGACGGUACCGUAAGAAUAAGCACCGGCUAACUACGUGCCAGCAACCGCGGUAAUACGUAGGGUGCAAGCGUUAAUCGGAAUUACUGGGCGUAAAGCGUGCGCAGGCGGUUAUAUAAGACAGAUGUGAAAUCCCCGGGCUCAACCUGGGAACUGCAUUAGUGACUGUAUAGCUAGAGUGCGGCAGAGGGGGAUGGAAUUCCGCGUGUAGCAGUGAAAUGCGUAGAUAUGCGGAGGAACACCGAUGGCGAAGGCAAUCCCCUGGGCCUGCACUGACGCUCAUGC